GCCGGCCGGAAGCCCCGGACGUCGGCGUCCCGGUAGCCGCGGUUCUUGGCGCGCCGCUCCAGGAGGAUGGCCUUGGCCGAGGCGUCCAGGCCCACGUGCACCGCGAGCUGCGCCAGUAGACGCGGCAGCCGGGGGCCCAGAUCUGGCACGCGAGCUCCAGGCUUCCCCGCUGACCUGCCCUCAUGAACGCGCCGGAACGGGAGACAGCUGGAGACCGACCCGCGUGGCAUUUACUGGGGCUCCUUUGAUCCGGGCAGAUGCUCUCGCAGGGCGGUGCUCGCCCCUUGUUUUCCCGGGGGGUCGCCCGUCGCCAAGACUAGCACCGGAGGAGCUUAGCGUUUCGGGGGAAUCUUCCAUCUCUUUUGUGAAACUCUGAUAUAAAGGAGUUAGUGACCAUGUGAUAAAAUAUGGUUAGGAUUUUGAGAGCUGAUUAUUAUUUUUCCUCUUUGAAAAAAAUAGCCACAGAGCGUUUUAUCAAAACACCCAGGACGAUUGUCUUCACGGUUUGGCGGUGUGUGUUGUGUUAACCUCAUCAUCCGGCCUUCCUCCUCCGUGGAUAUUUGUACCAGUUUUUAAAAUAAUGACUCUGUUUGGAUUUAAAAAAAAAAAAAAAAAGCCAGGUGUGAUGGAGAUGGGACCUCUGCCGAUGGGCCAUCCUCCCAGCCGCUCUUCCAGGCCCCAAAAGUCCUUGUCUCUAGCUUCACCUCAGGGCCAACCUGCCCUGUCUGAGCAGGGCUGGGAAAUAACCCAAGGGCCUAGCCGUUGGGUGGAAACUAUCUUUGAGUCCUGGCAAGGAAUAGAGAUUCCAUGGAUUUUCCUCCUUUUCUCUCUCCCAAAUCUUCUUCCAAGAUCCACUCUGAAUUUUAACUUAAACUUUUACGAACAGACCCAGAACCUUAGAAAAGUGGCUGGGACCAUACUGGCGGGGACACGGGAGCUGCGUGCACCUCAGUCAGCCACCCUAGGUCGGGGGUCCAGAGGUUCACAGGCCCUGUAGCUCCACCACGUCAUCACCCCUCACCCCACCCCACCCCCCAGCCUCAGGGCCUUCCCGGCCAUCAUUUACUUGUGGUUGAAGAUCCUCCCAGAUUCUGGUGACCCUCUGCUUCACCUCCCUGUAAUCUACAGGCAGUUGAAGAAUCCGCAGCUCCACCUCCAUGCCGCUGUUCAGGCCCAGCUUGGACAGCUCCUGCAGGAAGAAACAGAAGACGAGGAGGAAGAGGAAGAGGAGGAGGAGGAAGAAGAGAAACCAGAGCCUUUCUUUCUCUGCCAGAUGAGGACACAGCCAGAAGGUGACCACCUGCAAGCCAGGUAGACGGUUCUCACCAGAAACCAAAUCUGCCAGCACCUUGAUCUCAGGCUUCCAGCCUCUAGAACUGUGAGAAAUAAAUGUCUGCUGUUUAAACCACCCAGGCUA